rnacentral:misc_RNA from 1 species
UAAUAAGUGUUUUAUGGCACUUUUUAAGUCCAUAUCCACCUUGUGUGCAAUGUCAGUCGAUCUUCUUUUAUGGAGGAUCGACCAAACAUCAACCUUUAUUUUUAACUCUUUGUCUUAAAAAUAUUAUGAAUAAACAAUUCAAAAUA